UGGGGAAUUUUGCGCAAUGGGGGAAACCCUGACGCAGCAACGCCGCGUGGAGGAUGAAGUCCCUUGGGACGUAAACUCCUUUCGAUCGGGACGAUAAUGACGGUACCGGAAGAAGAAGCCCCGGCUAACUUCGUGCCAGCAGCCGCGGUAAUACGAGGGGGGCAAGCGUUGUUCGGAAUUAUUGGGCGUAAAGGGUGCGUAGGUGGUUCGGCAAGUCUUGUGUGAAAUCUUCAGGCUCAACUUGAAGUCUGCACAAGAAACUGCCGGGCUUGAGUAUGGGAGAGGUGAGUGGAAUUUCCGGUGUAGCGGUGAAAUGCGUAGAUAUCGGAAGGAACACCUGUGGCGAAAGCGGCUCACUGGACCAUUACUGACACUGAGGCACGAAAGCUAGGGGAGCAAACAGGAUUAGAUACCCCCGUAGUCC
rnacentral:rRNA from 1 species